rnacentral:rRNA from 1 species
UACAGAGGUCCCGAGCGUUGUUCGGAUUCAUUGGGCGUAAAGGGUGCGUAGGUGGCGCUGUAAGUGGGGUGUGAAAUCCCGGGGCUUAACUCCGGAACUGCAUUCCAUACUGCGGUGCUUUGAGGACUGGAGAGGAGACUGGAAUUUACGGUGUAGCAGUGAAAUGCGUAGAGAUCGUAAGGAAGACCAGUGGCGAAGGCGGGUCUCUGGACAGUUCCUGACACUGAGGCACGAAGGCCAGGGGGAGCAAACGGG